rnacentral:lncRNA from 1 species
CUGCAUGAGGAGAUCCUGUAGGCCUCCUGGAUAGAAUUGUGCCUUCAUAAUAAUGGGAAUGGGAGCAGUGUUUCAGCCUCAGUUUCUAGUUAUAAUUGUGACAUUAAAAAAUACUGCUGGAUUUCCAGGAUAAGUGCAGAUGCUCCAAGAGUUCUCACUGUGACAGCCCACCUAAUUCACACAAACCACAGGAUAUGAAUAGGCCUUCUGAAACAGACAACCAAAGCAUGAGAGAGAAAAGCAGCUCUCCAUCUCAGCAAGAUUCUACUGAGAACAAACUAAGUUAAAAGCAUCUUAAGAAGAAAACUCAGAUUAGAUACAAGAUUGAUCAAGUAGGCCAGAAAAUAUUCCCCUAAAAGGAAUUUCUCUGAAAACACCCAAAAUGCACAGCUAUUGUCAGCAUGAGAAACAUGAGCAUUAUGAAGAAAAAGGGCAUAUUCUCAGUAGAAUUUCAUAAGGUUUUUCUUUCAUGUCUGUUGCUCUUUUAUCUCCUAGCCAUCAAAUGGGGGAUCUAUUGUGAAAUACAUGUGACAACUUCCACUAGAGCUUUUUGA